rnacentral:rRNA from 1 species
UACCAGCACCCCGAGUGGUCGGGACGUUUACUGGGCCUAAAGCAUCCGUAGCCGGUUCUACAAGUCUUCCGUUAAAUCCAACUGCUUAACAGGUGGGCUGCGGAAGAUACUAUAGAGCUAGGAGGCGGGAGAGGCAAGCGGUACUCGAUGGGUAGGGGUAAAAUCCGUUGAUCCAUUGAAGACCACCAGUGGCGAAGGCGGCUUGCCAGAACGCGCUCGACGGUGAGGGAUGAAAGCUGGGGGAGCAAACCGG